CUCAGAAACUCAAGUCAAGGAAUCUACUGAAGAAAAGCAACAGUUUUACUUCAGCCGGACCAUGUAAUUUAAAGCUGAAUAGUAGUCAACAAGUACUGCUCGAACACAGCUAUGCCUUCAGGAGCCCUGUGGAGGCGAAGAAGAGGAUAAUUAAACUAGAAAGAGAAAUAGCAAGCCUGAGAAGAAAAAUGAAAACUUGCCUGCAAAGAGAACGCAGAGCGACUCGAAGAUGGAUCAAAGCCACAUGCUUUGUGAAGAGUUUAGAAGCAGGCAACAUGCUACCUAAGGGCAUCUCAGAACAGAUUUUGCCAACCGCCUUAAGCAGUCUUCCUUUGGAAAAUUUAAAAAUUCUUCAACAAGAUCAGCAAGAUAAAACAUUACCAGUUCUCUAAAUGUAAGAUAGACAAGAAUAUCUGCACUUAAGUUUUCCUUACACAGGACCCAAUGCCUAUCUCCUGCCGUCGCCAACCAUACUCGGGCUAUUACACUACAAUCAAGUGCUUAAGUUUUACUUGAAGUAGCAAUAUCACUGGUGGAGACCUGAGAAAGUGUCAGUGACAAGUUUGGGAAUGAGAAGAAGUGCCUUACAUGAGGAUUAUGUACUU
rnacentral:lncRNA from 1 species